GUAAAAGCAUCCUAGGAUGUAUCAGCUCUUGGAAACAAGAAGGUUAUAAAUAUAACAGACCGUUGGCAAAGAAUUAUUGAAUCCUGCAGCUGCUAAAUCUCAAGCAGGAAGAGUUUGUGAGAUGUUCAUAUUGCAAUUGGGUAUCUGCAUCAUACCUUUCACCCUCAUAAUUCCACCAUGCCGGCAAUUAGUUGUUCUGAUUGCUAAGCUUCAGCAGCUUUACACAACUAUAACCAGCAUCCUAUCAGCACCUGCACCCAUCUGGAGACGAUUGGUGAGGCUUGACUCUAUGGUUUUGAUGCCAUGACAUUAAGGUGGCCAUCAUAAAUAUUACAGGACAACUUGUGGUCGUGCUUUCUGGUUUUGAAUCUCUGCUUCAGUGAGUGGUUUUGAAUUCGACAAGCAAAAUUCUUGCGAGAUGUAACGCACCUACCAACUUGAGAUUCCCUGCGAUUCUCCAGCGACAACCGAUUAUCCCAAGUAUCAGUGCUGAUGAAACUUUCGUGGAGCAAAACAUGUGAUAUCCACUGAAGGAAAAUCACACCAGGCCAUACUCAUCCUUGAAGGGGAUUGUUGCUGGGUCCUGCGAAAUUGGGCAUGCAUGGAAUCUGAGAGGAGGUUUUUGUGAAGUAAGUCCAUCUUUGUUUUAUAAGUGGAACAUAUGUCUGUAUUUCUUGAAGAAAGGAAGAAGGAGAAGUCUGCAAGAAACUUAUAUUUUCUCUAGACGAACAUUUGAAAGGUUUGGCGAUUA